rnacentral:rRNA from 1 species
GUCCACGCCUAACUAUGGAUACUCGACAUCAGCGAUACACAGUUGGUGUCUGAGCGAAAGCAUUAAGUAUCCCACCUGGGAAGUACGAUCGCAAGAUUGAAACUCAAAGGAAUUGGCGGGGUCCGCACAAGCGGUGGAGCAUGUGGUUUAAUUCGAUGAUACGCGAGGAACCUUACCUGGGCUAGAAUGCUGGGAGACCGUCUCUGAAAGGGGAUUUUGUAGCAAUACACUGCCAGUAAGGUGCUGCAUGGCCGUCGU